rnacentral:rRNA from 1 species
GAUGAACGCUAGCGGCAGGCUUAACACAUGCAAGUCGAGGGGCAACACGGGUAGCAAUACCUGGUGGCGACCGGCGCAAGGGUGCGUAACGCGUGAGCAACAUGCCCUAUACAGGGGGAUAAUCCAGGGAAACUUGGUCUAAUAUCCCAUAGCAUUUAGAGGUGGCAUCACCACUAAAUUAAAGCUUCGGUGGUAUAGGAUUGGCUCGCGUGACAUUAGCUGGAUGGUGGGGUAACGGCUCACCAUGGCGAUGAUGUCUAGGGGUUCUGAGAGGAAGACCCCCCACACUGGGACUGAGACACGGCCCAGACUCCUACGGGAGGCAGCAGUGAGGAAUAUUGGACAAUGGAUGGAAAUCUGAUCCAGCCAUGCCGCGUGCAGGAAGACGGCCCUAUGGGUUGUAAACUGCUUUUAUAUGGGAGCAAUAAGGUUUACGCGUAGACCGAUGAGAGUACCAUAUGAAUAAGCAUCGGCUAACUCCGUG